rnacentral:rRNA from 1 species
UUCAUGGAGAGUUUGAUCCUGGCUCAGGACGAACGCUGGCGGCGUGCCUAAUACAUGCAAGUCGAGCGGACCGAUGGGAGCUUGCUCCCUUAGGUCAGCGGCGGACGGGUGAGUAACACGUGGGUAACCUGCCUGUAAGACUGGGAUAACUCCGGGAAACCGGGGCUAAUACCGGAUGCUUGAUUGAACCGCAUGGUUCAAUCAUAAAAGGUGGCUUUUAGCUACCACUUACAGAUGGACCCGCGGCGCAUUAGCUAGUUGGUGAGGUAACGGCUCACCAAGGCGACG